rnacentral:rRNA from 1 species
CCUACGGGAGGCAGCAGUUAGGAAUAUUGGGCAAUGGAGGAAACUCUGACCCAGCAACGCCGCGUGAAGGAAGAAGGUUUUCGGAUUGUAAACUUCUGAUCUGUGGGACGAAGAAAGUGACGGUACCACAGGAGAAAGCCACGGCUAACAACGUGCCAGCAGCCGCGGUAAUACGGAGGAUGGGAGCGGUAUCCGGAUUUAUUGGGUUUAAAGGGUGCGCAGGGGGUCUGUUAAGUCAGCGGUCAAAGCCCGGGGCUCACCCCCUGCCCGCCGUUGAAACUGGCAGUCUCGAGUUGGAGAGAAGUAUGCGGAAUGCGCGGUGUAGCGGUGACCUGCAUCGAUAUCGCGCAGAACUCCGAUUGCGAAGGCAGCAUGCCGGCUCCACACUGACGCUGAGGCACGAAAGCGUGGGUAUCGAACAGGAUUAGAUACCCUAGUAGUC